rnacentral:rRNA from 1 species
AACGAACGCUGGCGGCAGGCUUAACACAUGCAAGUCGAGCGCCCCGCAAGGGGAGCGCCAGACGGGUGAGUAACGCGUGGGAAUCUACCCAUCUCUACGGAAUAACGCAUGGAAACGUGUGCUAAUACCGUAUACGUCCUUCGGGAGAAAGAUUUAUCGGAGAUGGAUGAGCCCGCGUUGGAUUAGCUAGUUGGUGGGGUAAAGGCCUACCAAGGCGACGGUCCAUAGCUGGUCUGAGCGGAUGAUCAGCCACACUGGGACUGAGACACGGCCCAGACUCCAACGGGAGGCAGCAGUGGGGAAUAUUGGACACUGGGCGCAAGCCUGAUCCAGCCAUGCCGCGUGAGUGAUGAAGGCCCUAGGGUUGUAAAGCUCUUUCACCGGUGAAGAUAAUGACGGUAACCGGAGAAGAAGCCCCGGCUAACUUCGUGCCAGCAGCCGCAGUAACAC